CCAAGUGAUGGGACAAUGUGGUGACCAAGAGGGCCUCCGGCACCUGAUCAUGGCAGCCAUUCUUGACACUCUGGGCUCUGCAGAUGAUGCUGUGGAACACUUUCGCCUUAGUGUACAGCACGGUCUCUUGAACUCCGAGGAACAUUGUGUUCCAGCCUUUGCAUUGUAUGAAUUAGGCCUCCUCCUUGGUGCUAAUGAUGAGACAUUAGACGAAGGCAAAAAGUGCUUGGAGGAUGUUCGAGACAACUAUCACGGGUAUGACUUUGAAAACCGCCUUAAUGUAAGAAUUCAUGCUGCUCUGAAAAAUCUGUCAUAGAGUUGUACCUUAAUGCAUCAGUGAACUUGGGAUUGUGAUUCCCCAGCUCUAUUCAAGCAAGUUUUGUGGUCAUAUUUUGUCACUGAUUUAUACUUGAGGUUAAAUUAGUUUUGAAAAUUAUUUGUUUAGUUGUGUGGAAGUGAUAGUAGAUUUAGAAAAUUUAUAUUGACUUGUAAGUCCAGUAAUAAAUAAGUUGUUUGGACCACUUCAUAGUUUAUGUUGUGAUGCUUCUUGUUUGAUCUCAGAGACUUUGAUGUGUUGGGGUAAUGAUGGCAGUGAGUGUACAUGUAGGAGAAUAGAACAAUGUGUGAAGGAAAAUUAAGUGUAAGCCAUAUUGGCAAAGUAGGUAGAUGGACAGUACGAGUUAUGAAUUGAAUGUUCUAGAAAGAAUACAGUAAGCCCUCGAAAGUCCGGACCCUAUAAGUUCAGAUUACAGAUAAUCCGAACCUUUUCCAGGCAAGAAACAUUUGUCCAACACAUUUAAUAUUUGUUGUAUGAAAUUCCUGCUGUGUGCGGUCAUUUGAAAUAUCUGCCAGCCAGCAAUGCUUUGGCCUCUUUCCUCCUCUCAAACCAUGAGUGAGUAGUUUAUUUCCCCUUUCUUAGAAUGGACUCCCCCAUAAUGCUGCACUGUGACUGUUUAGCUAUAAGUUCAACACACAUUCAGCCACAGAAAAAUGGUAAGAUGUUAGGUAAAAUAAUUCAAACAAUGGUGAUGGUAAUCCUCCCGGGAAGAAGCAGAAGAAAAGCGCUUUUUGCAUCAUCCAUGUCACACACACCAGGUGCAUUUCAUCUGUCUCCAUUAUUUUGAAGUCAAACUACAAUUUUAUAUUGUUUGCCAGUUUGUUUUUAUAUAUUCAUUGUUAUAUUCUCAUAUGAUCAACCUCUUAUGGUGUAUGUUUCAUCAUAAAUAAUAUAAUAUACAGUAUUAAAUAAUAGAACAAAAUAUGAUAUAUAAUUUGUAAUUUGACUUAAAUGAAGUAAAAUUGUGAAAGGAAACACACAUGACAUUUAUUGCAUAUUAAAAUACAAAUUUAAAGAUCUUGGGGGACUAAUGAGUGGCUGCUUGGUGGACAGUGGCCCCUAGAACCCCCCCAAAAAAAACUUGGUAAAAGUCCAGACAGUCAGCAAGUUUGGACCCGUCUUUCCCCCUAAGUUGUCUGGGUUUACGAGGGUUUACUGUAUAUAAGUGUGUAUUUGUUGAGAGUAUUUUACAGUGACUUGGAGCAGCUAAAUCUCGGUUAUGUUUAGGUUUGUCAUUCAUGCUGCGGCAAUAAUGGUUUGUUGUUAAGUAUGCUGAUUUUUUUUUCAUAGUUGCAUUUAUUUUAGACAUCUCUUCCUUACAAGGAGUGGGGCCCCUGGUAGGCUAGUAGCCGGUCAGUUUGAUGUAAGGUUACAUAAGGUCAAGGGUUUCUACCCCUAUUGUUUGACCAGAACUGUUUUGGUAACCUGAUUGGUUUACCCUGAGGUUGAACAUGGACCAGUAGAUUAAAACAUUAGUCAGUGUAAUCACUAUUCCACCCAAGCAGUUGUAUUCAUUUGAUAUUACAAAAAAAUAAAUAAAAAAUGUGAGCAUUGAGAUUACACAUGUGUUGACAGAAAGUGAUAUUGAAAAAAAUAACAGAAGUUGAUUACUUGGAAGAACAGGCAGCCUUCACAUUUUCAAGCUACUGGUGGCUAAAUUGCCAUCUACAUUAUUAGGUGAGCUGUCUAUUUCCCAGUUAAUUAACAAUUAUUUCAAUGUUUACAGUGGUUGUUGGUUAUUGAAUAGGUCAUCCACUUGAUUUCUAUAAAAUAAAUUGCUUUUUCCUAGUUUUAUAAUAAUUAAAUGGGUCAUGUCAAGGUUUUAAAGUGUAUGUGAUACUCUUUUUGGAUUGUGUUGGUAUUUGAGUAAAGAAGACAUUUUUAUUGUGACUAUGGCCCCCCCAAAAAUCAACUUAAGAUCUGAACUUAAACAUAUACUCUACUGUACUAAAAUUUAUGUUUAUUUAAGUUGUUUCAAAGUUGUCAAAACACUUAUUUUAAGGCCCAUAGAUACAAUAAAUAUUUUCUUUUCCUAUAAAUACAUACACGUUUGAAAACUGGUAAUUUACCAACUUUGAGUCCCUGUGUGUCUCUCUGAUCAUUAUAUUUGUCCCCUGCAGAGAAUGAACACCCAGACUCCCUCUCUUUAAGUCUCUUACUUAUAAAUUAAAUAAGAAGGCUGUAGGUUGUAUCUACAGUGUUUGGCACUACGUAGUUCUCAGAUAUAUGAUUGUUCUAAAUAUAGAAUAUAUAGAGAAAUACAGGUAAAUAGAGGCUCAGAACAAAGAUAUUUUUCAUACCAAAAAGAAUUUAUAUUUUAUGAUUUCUAGUAAGAAAUAUAUUAUUUAGAUAGAUUUACAGUUACAUAACUUUGAGUGUAAGUAUUGACACUGAUUUUUUAUUAAUUUUUUAAUAUGAAUGAUUUUAUGACUUUCUGGGGGAGUACUGAGGAGUAUGUUGUACAUGCACUGUUUGCUUUGAUUGAAAUUUACAGGCUGGGGCAUUUUUUCUUAAAGUUAAUUGCUGAAGUGAAUUUAGGCAUUAGAUAUUUAUGACUUUAAAACUAUAUGUAGUUUUGUACAAUAAUAUGUUUAAAAAUUUAGAUAUGUACUGUAUAUGCACUUAAGUUGUCAAAAUACAGUACAGUGAUAUCUCCGUUAGCCGGAACAAUUGGUACAGAGCUCUUCUGGGAUGAGAGAUUUCCAGGUAAUGUGACGACUUUCUCAAACACAGAAAAAUCCCAUAUUCCCAGAAUUUUUCUGGGUGUUGGGAAAAGUUUCCAAGUCUAAGCUAAGCAUUGUGCACAGGCAGGCACUAGCCCACUUCCCCAGAAUGUUUCUGGGUACUGAGGAAAGUUUUCCAAGAGUCUAAAGUACUCAUCUCAUCUCGACUCUAAACUAUGCAUCUCAUCUUGCUCAGACAAACACACUCCCAUAUUAAUGGCUAGCAAAAAACUGCAUAAACUUUUAUUCACAGCAUUUGUUGUAAUUGAGUUAGAUGAAUUUGAUACCAUAAUGAUCUUAAAUAAAUUCUCUACAAGACAUUUCCAGUAAGAGAUUCUUAAACAAAAUAUUUUCAUGAGAUAUAAUUAUGGGGACUCCAUUCCUUUAUGAAAAAAGAAAAAAGAAAAUGUUGAUACCCGAGUCUGGAAAAGCAGUUGUAAUUAAGUUAGAAACACCUUUUAUUUCCUAGAAUAAUCCUGAAUAGGUUAUCUAAAAAUGUUGGUUUAAUAAAUAUACAGUAUUUAAAAAAUAAAACUAUAUAUUAUACAGGCGUGCGAGCCGCCUCGUGAAUGAAGUACAGUAAUGUGUUACAGCGAAGACUGGUAUUUUCCACUUGCAUGGAAUUGUCAGGUCACCCAUUGUCGGAGUGGGGGAUUAGUGGGUCUCAUGACCUAAAGAUGUCUUGAUUAAACAUAAAGCUAAGGUGUUUCUGUGUUUCCCGCUUAUUGAAUGUACAGUGUAGUACAGUAUACAUUGGUGUAAUAGUUUUUUACAUUCUUAAAACUGCUUUAACACUGUGUUCUUGGCUUAUUUUAUUCUGGUACAGCAAUGUGGAGCACUACACAACAUAAAUAGUAUGCAAAAACAGUAGCUAGCGAGGGAACUACCUUGAACAAUAGCAAUAGAGAAUGGACCAAGUGAUCCAAGCAGUAAGGCCACCCACGUGCCUGGCAUAUGGGGAUGCGUUGGAGCAUGAUGCAAUCUCUCAGAACUCCCAGAAAAUUUAUUCCCAAGCUUAGAAUGGAGAGAUUUUCUUGGAACCUUCUUGGACUUCUCUCAGAAAAUGCACCUGAUUUUCAAUCUCGGAAACUCGUUCACCGAUUCAAAAUUUAGAAAAUUUUUCCGGAAAAAUUCCAAUCCAAUUUCAAUUCUGGGUAUUGGAGGUGUUCCAGCUAAUGGGGGAUUCCGGCUAACGGAGAUAAUGCUAUGUGGUUUCGCAAAGUAUUGAAUUUAUAUUUCAAAUGUUAUUGAAAAAUUAAAACAAAUUUAAUUUAAUCUGAUUGUAAUCGAAAUACAGUUUAAGUUAAUGUGACUUGCACAGGCUGUGAGGAUAAAAUUCAUUGUUGUGCUGCUGCUGGAAAUUUGACAGCCCCAUGAAAAUAAGUACUGUACUGAAUGUUGAAUCAAGGGCUUCAACUGCAUGUUACUUGUCAUAAUAAGUUUUCCUUCAUGCUGUAGAAUGAAGCUUUCAGGCCAGGUCCAUUUUUUUGUGAUACUGUAUAGUAUUUUAAGUGCAGUACUGUAUACAUGCCAAUGAUAUAUUUGAAGAAUUUUGCUUACUUAAGAGUCAGAAUUUUGUGCUUCAUGUUCAAUCUUGGUAAAAGUUCAAUGAAACCACAAUUCAACUUCAGUAUUAUAAGUCCAUAUUCAUUCAUUUAUAUACAUUCCAACAACAGUUAAAGUGGAAAUAAACUUGAAGUAAUGA
rnacentral:lncRNA from 1 species